AGCUUUGCGCAGUGGCAGUGUCGUAGCCGGUGAGGUUUAUUCAAGGCGAGAUUGUUGCUAAUUGAAGAAUUCACUCUGAGUGUUUGCUUUACAUUUUUUCUUAAAAUGUCCACGUU
ensembl:snRNA U4 U4 spliceosomal RNA